GACAGAGGGUGCAAACGUUGUUCGGAAUUACUGGGCGUAAAGCGCGUGUAGGCGGUCUCGCAAGUCGGAUGUGAAAGCCCAGGGCUCAACCCUGGAAGUGCACUCGAUACUGCGAGGCUAGAGUCCCGGAGAGGAUGGUGGAACUCUCGGUGUAGAGGUGAAAUUCGUAGAUAUCGAGAAGAACACCGGUGGCGAAGGCGGCCAUCUGGACGGUGACUGACGCUGAGAGCGAAA
rnacentral:rRNA from 1 species